CACACAAGGAAGCACAACAGUGAAAUUCACAUCAAAUCCACUAAUAAUAAUCACAAAGAGGAUCUACGAAUGAAUCAUAUUUAUAGAAAAAGAUGAGGAGGAGGAAAGCAAACGAAAACCGUAGCCUCAGUUAGAGGGAUUAGAAGGACUGAGGAAUCCAGGUUCAAGCUCCACUUUGGCAAGGCCAAGCUGUACCGAUGGAAUCGAAGAUGAAACGCUGACCUUGCUCGAAGAGGAGAAAUCAAAACAGCAAGUGGAUGGAAUCGAAGGAAUGAGGCAAGGGUACAGGAAUCUGGCGUGCG
rnacentral:misc_RNA from 1 species